AACAUGUUGCUGUCUGGUUCAAUGCCAAGUGCUGAUGGUUUAAUGAAUACAAAUUUCCUAGCAAGAACCAUUCUUCCAUGUUCAUCAAAUAUGGCAACUAUUUCAGCAUCAGCUCCAUUUCCUACUGUAACGUUGGACCUUACUCAAAAUCCAAAUGCAAUGUCUAAUUAUCAUCAAAGGAAUCCAACUACACAAUUCCAAGUUCCUUUACCAGCUGGUCUUAAUCAUCCGAAUUUUGUUGGUUCAAUGUCAGCUCCACAAAUGCCUCAGGUUUUGGGCCAGGCUUUGUAUAACCAAUCAAGAUUUUCAGGUUUACAAGUUUCUCAAGACAAUAUUCAACACCCCUCAUUUUCUGAAUUUCCUAGCAAGGACUAUUCUUCCAUGUUCAUCAAAUAUGGCAACUAUUUCAGCAUCAGCUCCAUUUCCUACUGUAACAUUGGACCUUACUCAAAAUCCAAAUGCAAUGUCUAAUUACCAUCAAAGAAAUGCAGCCACACAAUUCCAAGUUCCUUUACCAACUGGUCUAAAUCAUCCGAAUUUUGUUGGUUCAAUGUCAGCUCCACAAAUGCCUCAGGUUUUGGG
rnacentral:lncRNA from 1 species